UACGAAGGGGGCUAGCGUUGUUCGGAAUGACUGGGCGUAAAGGGCGCGUAGGCGGCCAUUUAAGUCAGGCGUGAAAGCCCCGGGCUCAACCUGGGAACGGCGCUUGAUACUGGGUGGCUUGAGGACGGGAGAGGAUGGUGGAGUUCCCAGUGUAGAGGUGAAAUUCGUAGAUAUUGGGAAGAACACCGGUGGCGAAGGCGACCCCCUGGUUGGAUACUGACGCUGAGACGCGAGAGCGUGGGGAGCAAACAGG
rnacentral:rRNA from 1 species